rnacentral:rRNA from 1 species
GACGAACGCUGGCGGCGUGCCUAAUACAUGCAAGUAGAACGCAGUUGCGAACGGGUGAGUAACGCGUAGGUAACUGCCUCAUAGCGGGGGAUAACUAUUGGUAACGAUAGCUAAUACCGCAUACUUUGGGUUGGACCUGCGUUGGAUUGGGUAGUUGGUGAGGUAAAGGCUCACCAAGGCGACGAUGCAUAGCCGGCCUGAGAGGGGGGUCGGGCAAACCGGGAAUGAGGAACGGGCCAGACUUCUACGGGAGGCAGCCGUUGGGGAUCUUCGGGAAAUGACGGAAGUCCGACCGGGGAAAGCCGCGGGAGUGAAGAAGGUUUUCGGAUCGUAAAGCUCUGUUGUUAGAGAAGCGGUAACUAACCAGAAAGGGACGGCUAACUACGUGCCAGCAGCCGCGGUAAUAC